GUCAGUCUUUUUCAAACUUUCUACAAUAAAACUCGUAAUUGUCAUAAAACUUAAUAACUUUUGACUGAAUUUCAUCUAUGAAAGGCUCAGCUGAGAGCUACCGUGCGAGUCCACAGGUUGCGGAUCGUGGAAUACUUCGUAGAAAUACGGGAUACUUGGAUUUGCAGUGGAGUCCCUAUGAUGCUCGAGUUAUUAGCAAAGCGAUUUGUUGGCAUCUUCAAAUAACCAAUCGUAAUAACGUUACCGCGGCGAUCGGUCCUUGCUACAGGCCUAAAGACAAUGUUGCCAACAAUUUACCAGGAAAAAACGUUACAAAAAUUUUAAAAAGGGCCCCGCAUAAAUCCUCAUAUUCCCGAGACCAUCGCCUUGUCAGCGACUUGACAUUGCAUUGACCGGUCAGGACUCCCACCAACAAUCAAAGGUUACGCUCCCCCAGCUCGAGAACAAUCGACGUCCUUGUUUCAGAGAACAUCGGCCACACAACCUUGGCAACCCUGCACCCUCAACCUCCAACCACUUCAAAAAUCUCAAUGGAAACAUAUUACUUUUAUGAAGAUUUUUUUCAUAAGUAAUGACCGAAUGUCCUACUGAAUGAAAUCAGCAAGUUUUUUUGCUUCAAAAUCUAUUAUCUAAAAAAAGUAAUCACGAAAAAAUGUUGCGAAAAACGAACAUAGUACCAGCCAUAACUCAAUAAAACAAAAAAAAAGUUA